UACGUAGGGGGCAAGCGUUGUCCGGAUUUAUUGGGCGUAAAGAGCGUGUAGGCGGUCAGGUAGGUCCGUUGUGAAAACUCGAGGCUCAACCUCGAGACGCCGAUGGAAACCAUCUGACUAGAGUCCGGAAGAGGAGAGUGGAAUUCCUGGUGUAGCGGUGAAAUGCGCAGAUAUCAGGAAGAACACCCGUGGCUAAGGCGGUUCUCUAGUACGGUACUGACGCUGAGACGCGAAAGCGUGGGGAGCGAACAGG
rnacentral:rRNA from 1 species